rnacentral:rRNA from 1 species
GAUAAGUGCUGAAAGCAUCUAAGCAUGAAGCCCCCCUCGAGAUGAGAUUUCCCACAGCAUUAAGCUGGUAAGAUCCCUUAGAGAUGAUGAGGUAGAUAGGUUCGGGGUGGAAGCGUGGCAACACGUGCAGCUGACGAAUACUAAUCGAUCGAGGGCUUAACCUA